UACGUAGGGGGCGAGCGUUAUCCGGAAUUAUUGGGCGUAAAGAGUACGUAGGUGGUUUCGUAAGCGAGGGGUGAAAGCCCGGGGCUUAACUCCGGCGAGCCUUUCGAACUGCGAGACUUGAGUGCAGGAGGGGGAAGUGGAAUUCCUAGUGUAGCGGUGAAAUGCGUAGAUAUUAGGAGGAACACCGGUGGCGAAGGCGACUUUCUGGACUGUAACUGACACUGAGGUACGAAAGCGUGGGGAGCAAACA
rnacentral:rRNA from 1 species